rnacentral:lncRNA from 1 species
UUUUUGGGGAGGAAUACAAGUUAACACAUGACUAAAUUCGUGUGAAACAUUAACCUUUUGAUAUACUUUUCAUACUGUUGUUUUAACUAUCUUGUGAAGUUAUUAUGAUACAAAACCCCUCACAACACAGCUUUACCCUCUUUGGGAUAUAAUAUGUUUAUAAAUAGAAAUAUGUUUUAUUUAUACGUUUACAUACAAACACAUCAUAUCAAGGGUAACAUUCUUUACUAAGUCAUUUCAUGCAUUCAAAGAACUUAUGAUUAUGCUUUGUCAAACAUUGUGAAAGAGGUUAAACUUUGCAUACAAACUACUACCUUAUUACGGACUUAGUUGAGAAUCCAUGAGUCGUGUAUAUCUUCAAACGUUACUUUCUUUAUUAGAAAAUAAUGCUACAAGUCCUGUCUAUAACCAGAGUCUCCCGUUCGGAGAACGUGUCAAAUGUGUAUAGAUCUAUACGGGAAGUCAUGAUCCCGCGCCCUGACUGUUAGCUACAGUCCGUCUUUUGGGGUGACAGUUGUCAUAACGCUACGACGCCUGAAGAACGUCGCUACAGGCAUAUUAUGUUUAGUAUGGUUAUAAAACUCAUCGGAUAUACAAUUAUUAUGGUAUUAUGCUUUUAUGAACGAGUAGUCAUUAAAACUAUUCUUCAUCUAAUAAGUGCGAUCUUCGUAUAGCUUUACUAUGUAAAACUAUGACACAACUUACAAGCACGUCGCUUGCUUGCGAUUUUCGGUCUUAGAGACUGCCAGUUAUGUCAGGGAAAUAAGGGUUUUUCCUGUAUACAAACCAAACAACUAAUAGGAAAAUAAGGGAUUUUCUCGGUACAAUUAGUUGCAAUUUACAUCACGAACAUUCAUAUGCAUUGCAUACUUUUAUAAGAAAAUAAGGGUUUUUCUGGAAAACAUGCAAACACUUUCGAAUGGCAUACAUCUUCUCAAAACACUACUUAUGAACUCACCAACUUAAAUGUUGACACUUUUUCUUUGAAAUAACUUGUAUUCACAGGAAACCGCUAGCCAGGUAGCAACUACUUCUGAAGACUAACGCAUUGGCGUUAGUAACAUAUUUUGGAUCACCAUUUUAUAUUUGAUUUCUUUUGCAAACAUGUAACACCUACAAUCAUGUAAACUUUUCAAACAUAUUUAUAUUAUGGUGGUGUGUACUUUCCUUUCUAUGAACUGUUAUGAUACUGAAUAUGAUGUCCUCCGCCCCCGAACGAUUCCGCCGUUCAGGUUUGGGGGUGUGACAGAUUGGUAUCAGAGCUUCGUUUAUAGUGAAUUAAGUAUAUCAAAACCAUUUUUUUUUUACAACUAUAAACUCAACUGGGCAAAAACACUCUGAGAAGAGUCAUGCUUUUGAAAUUAAAUCUAUUUAGUUUUUGUAAGUAAGCAUGCAUUCAUUUAGUAAUAAAUAACAGUUCCACAUCGUACCAUAUUAGAAGUAUUAUUAAUGAGUUGUGCAGUACAGGUACGCCUUGGGACAUGUAAUCGGAACUGGGAAGGAUAUAGCCUGAUCAACUAUAUUUGUCCGAGAGCCGACUAACGUGUGCCGAGGGGUGUCUGCAGUGGACAACAAAUUUUAAAAACUUACCAAACCGUUAUUAGAAUCAAACACAAUAAUUUAAAUGCUAUAGGAGUAGUUGCUAUUUAAACUAACUUACAUGUUUUGCAUGUUCCGACUUUAUUCAAUUCUUAUGACCCUAUUUCUCGUACAGUCAAAUGGCUGGAUUUCACCACCCCAAUGACCCCUACUUUCCCAACCAAGGCAACGGAGGAUGGAUCGAAGAUGAUCCAGAAGAGGAUGAGGAACCCAUAGAAUUGGGUGAUGACUCCGGUACUGACUCAGAACCUGAAGUGAUCGAUCCACCACCCAUUCAACCUCCUGUCCAUGUGAGGAACUUCCAAGGACCCACUCCCGUCUGGGGAAGUCACCUACAUCAUUGGAGCCAACAACAAGGCAUACGCCCUCCCUACGGCAUGUGUCGGGACUUCUACGAUGUCCGCGGUGGCAGUUCGGCUGAUCGAGCACUCCCGGUAAUGGUUGGUAAGUUAGCCAAUCAGUCCUAUCAGUCCGGAGUACAAGCAAGCCGACUCCGGGAUAUCAACGUGGAAGUGCAGGUUCACACUUCCGAUAUCCGUAGGCUGGACAAGAUACAAGAUAAUGUCCAACUCCAGUCUGAGGCAUUUCAGGCACAGAUAAUUGCAGCCCUAGCCGAGUUAAGGGAGCAACAAGCCGCUUUUGAUCGACGCCUAAUGGAAUCGAAGCAAUCAGAUGCGGAGUCAAGCUCCAAGCGCAACCUACGUCGCAAGUAGUGCCUGCCAGGAUUUCAAAUUUUGUUAUAAAUUAGGACUUCGGAUAAGAAUUUUCUUUUCGUUAAAACUUUCUGUAAUCGGAGACCUUUAGAAAGGUCAAAAAGUUUUGUCUAAACUCGGAUGUAACACAACUAUAUGUUUUAUAUAUAUGGGGCAUACCCCCCUUCUCUGAUUUUAAAUAUGUGUAUUCCGUUCAACUCAUAAGUGCAUCCAUUCAAACGUUAUUAAUAAAUCAAGCUCAAAACCCAUUGUUGAUCAAACCAAAUUCUUAAUCUAUUUAAGGCAGUUAACUCAAUAUCAUUCAACUCACAACCACCAAAACUCAUAAUAUCUCAUUUUUUUUUUUGACAGAGCGAUGCCUCCUCGUAGAUCAGCACGUACCAACGCAACCCCACCACCACCUCCACCACUAACUUAUGAUCCGGCAAUGGUCCAGGCUGCUAUCACAGCAGCAGUAGCAGCAGCCCUCUCUCAAAUAAACUCCAAUGCCAAUGGAGGUACAGGAAGCAGCACGAAUCAUCCCAAUAGUGGCACCGGCCAGGGCCAUGUUAGAGAGUGUACUUACAAGGAGUUCUCCAACUCGAAGCCAAAGACUUUUAAUGGCAGUGGCGGAGUCAUUGCACUAAUGCAAUGGUUCGAAAAGACCGAAACGGUCUUCGAGAUCUGCUCGUGCCAAGAAACAAGCAAGGUUAAGUUCGCUGCUUGCACCUUCAUAGAUCGAGCCCUCACUUGGUGGAAAAGCCAUGUGAACUCAGUGACGCUCACUGUCGCUAACGCCAUGAGUUGGGAAGAACUGAAGGUACUACUACUGGAAGAAUACUGCCCAAGGGGUGAAGUGCAAAAGCUUGAGCAGGAACUCUGGAAUUUGAAAAUGGUCGGGUCUGACCUAGUCGCUUACACAGCUAGGUUCAACGAUCUCGCUGCUUUGUGCCCUACCAUGGUCAACCCAGAAUCAAAGAAGGUCGAAAGGUACAUUUGGGGGUUGUCACCCCAGAUUCAAGGGCAUGUCCUAGCCUCCAACCCUAUCACCUACAACAGCGCUAAACGCCUGGCGCAACGACUCAUCGAUCACGGAGCGAAACAGAGUACCAUCACAACAGCCGCAAAUCCACCUAGGGAGGCUCAGGGACAGAGUAGGCCUUGGAACAAGAGGAGGGGACAAAUCCUCCAGGAGAACCCCAAGAAACAACAAGUGAUAGCGACCCACGCUAUUACUGUACCUACCAACUCUGCCCCCACAAGUUCAUACAAUGGAAAGCUACCGAAAUGUAACCAGUGCAACUUCCACCAUCACGGUCUCUGUCAUGGCCUUCAAUGCACCAGGUGCAAUAAGAAGGGUCAUACAGCCCGCUAUUGCAAGGAGCCAACCCAACAAUCCGCCCCCACUGCUAAUACCGGAGUAAGCCGCGCUUGCUUUGAGUGCGGGAGCACAGGGCACUACCGCAAGGACUGCCCGAAGGCAAACAACAGGAAUACCGGCGGAAGAGGCCGAGUUUUCGCAAUGGGACAAGAUGAAGCCAUUGCGGACCCUACUGUUGUUACGGGUACGUUUCUUCUCGAUAACUCGUAUGCAUGCAUUUUGUUUGAUAGUGGAGCGGAAAGGAGUUUUGUGAGUCACGACUUUAAAAGCAUGCUAAAACCAAUACCACAAUCAUUAAGUGAACCGUUCAUAGUAGAAAUGGCCAACGGGAAAACUGAAGGCACUAAAGAGAUAUACUUAAACUGCACCCUAACUCUAAACGAUAAUCCCUUUCAAAUCAACCUCAUGCCAGUCUCGAUUAAGAGUUUCGAUGUCAUCAUUGGCAUGGAUUGGCUGAGUUCACAUCGUGCGGACAUUCUAUGUUACGAUAAGGCCGUUCGCCUUAAUCUGCCAACCGGCGAAACCUUCCUUGUCUUGGGCGACAAACCUAGUACCACUCUUAGAAUCAUCUCAAGUAUCCAAGCUCAGAAGCACUUACGAAAGGAGUGUCACGCAUUUCUUGCACAUGUUGUAGACGUGAAACGCGAAGUCCGGGACAUCAAGGAUGUGCCCGACGUAUGCGAUUUUCCCGAUGUGUUUCCCGAGGACCUUCCAGGGAUACCACCCGUAAGACAAGUCGAAUUCAGAAUCGAUCUGAUUCCCGGAGCUACCCCAGUAGCCAAAGCACCCUAUCGAUUAGCCCCGGCAGAGAUGCAGGAGCUAUCCAGUCAACUGAAUGAACUACUGGGAAAAGGAUUCAUCAGACCGAGCUUCUCACCAUGGGGAGCACCCGUGUUGUUUGUGAAAAAGAAAGAUGGAUCGUUCAGAAUGUGCAUCGACUACAGAGAACUCAACAAACUGACGGUCAAGAAUCGUUAUCCUCUACCGCGCAUAGAUGAUCUAUUCGACCAACUGCAAGGGGCGAACUAUUUUUCUAAGAUUGAUCUGAGGUCCGGGUAUCACCAGUUACGAGUGCUAGAGGAGGAUGUGCCGAAGACCGCCUUCCGAACUCGUUACGGACAUUACGAGUUCGUGGUGAUGCCAUUCGGAUUGACCAAUGCGCCCGCAGUCUUCAUGGAUCUGAUGAAUAGAGUAUGCCGACCUUACUUGGAUCAGUUCGUCAUCGUUUUCAUUGACGACAUCCUGAUCUACUCCCGAAGUAAGAAAGAGCAUGGCGAUCAUCUGCGACAAGUUCUAGGGAUAUUACGAAAAGAGAAACUUUAUGCGAAGUUCUCGAAAUGUGAAUUUUGGAUCCGAAGAGUCGAAUUCUUAGGACACGUGGUAAGCGAAGAGGGAAUCCACGUGGACCCAUCCAAAAUUAAGGCCAUUGAGAACUGGUCAGCACCGAAGACUCCUACAGAAAUUCGCCAAUUUCUAGGUCUCGCUGGCUACUACCGCAGGUUCAUUCAGAACUUCUCACGAAUAGCGAAGCCUCUUACAACCCUAACCCAGAAAGGUGUGGCCUUUGACUGGGAAGAGAAACAAGAAAGAGCGUUCCAAACGCUCAAACGAGCCUUGUGCACCGCACCAAUACUAUCCCUUCCCGAAGGAAUAGAAGACUUCGUAGUUUAUUGCGAUGCAUCAAACCAAGGACUCGGAUGUGUUCUGAUGCAGCGAGGUAAGGUCAUCGCCUACGCCUCGAGACAGUUGAAAACACAUGAGGUUAACUACACGACCCACGAUCUUGAGCUAGGAGCAGUAGUGUUUGCCCUGAAGAUCUGGAGACAUUACUUGUAUGGAACGAAGAGCACUAUCUUUACCGACCACAAGAGCUUACAACACAUUUUCGAUCAGAAGGAGCUCAACAUGAGACAACGGCGAUGGGUCGAGCUACUCAGUGAUUACGAAUGCGAUAUUCGCUAUCAUCCGGGAAAGGCAAACGUCGUAGCCGAUGCCCUUAGUCGAAAGGAGUACUCAGGCCGGAGAGUGAAGUCAUUAGCUAUGUCGAUCCAUUCGCACCUAUCAACGCAAGUCAAGGAAGCUCAAUUAGAGGCCUUGAAACCCGAAAACGUGGCAGGUGAGGCCCUUAGGGGAAUGGACAAGAACUUAGAAAUCAAGAGUGACGGAGCACGCUACCUCAUGAACCGGAUCUGGACACCAAAGUUUGGGGGAUUCAGAGAGGUAGUUAUGAGCGAGGCACACAGGACCCCAUACUCCGUACACCCAGGGUCAGACAAGAUGUAUCUAGAUCUCAAGCAACUCUACUGGUGGCCAAACAUGAAAGCGGAGAUCGCUACGUAUGUGGGCAAGUGUUUAACUUGCGCCAAAAUAAAAAUAGAACACCAAAAACCCUCAGGCCUACUCCAACAACCUGAAAUACCUGAGUGGAAAUGGGAGCAGAUUUCCAUGGACUUCAUAACCAAACUGCCCAAAACUCAGAGUGGCCAAGAUACUAUUUGGGUAAUCGUCGACAGAUUAACCAAGUCAGCCCAUUUCUUACCUAUCAAGGAAACCGAUAGGAUGGAAAAACUAUCAAGAACCUACAUCCGGGAGAUCGUACGACUUCAUGGAGUACCAAUGUCCAUCAUCUCAGAUAGAGACAGCAGGUUCACUUCCAGAUUUUGGCAAUCACUGCAAAAAUCCAUGGGAACAAGGUUGGACAUGAGUACAGCAUACCACCCUCAAACUGACGGACAGAGUGAGAGGACGAUCCAAACCUUGGAAGACAUGUUGCGAGCAUGUGUAAUCGACUUUGGCAAGGCAUGGGAUAUUCACUUGCCUUUGGUCGAGUUCUCUUAUAACAAUAGUUAUCAUACUAGUAUCAAGACCGCUCCGUUCGAAGCCCUUUACGGCCGUAAGUGCAGAUCACCCCUGUGCUGGACGGAAGUGGGCGACACCCAAUUGGCAAAAGGUCUAGUCACUAAAAGCACCCUUACUGGUCCAGAGAUCAUCAGAGAAACUACCGAAAAGAUCGUGCAAAUACGAGAACGACUGAAGUCCUCAAGGGAUAGGCAAAAGAGCUAUGCCGACAGGAGACGUAAACCCUUGGAAUUCCAGAUUGGCGACCGUGUGCUACUGAAGGUCUCACCCUGGAAAGGCGUGAUACGCUUUGGGAAGCGUGGAAAGCUAAAUCCCAGGUACAUUGGACCCUUCGAAAUCAUUUCGAGAGUUGGUCCAGUGGCCUACAAACUCCAACUUCCAAUCGAGCUUAACAAAGUGCAUCCAGUAUUCCACGUGUCGAACCUGAAAAAGUGUUUGUCCGACGAAACACUUGUAAUUCCACUCGAUGAAAUCGCGUUAAACGAAAAUCUCAACUUUGUGGAAGAACCCGUCGAGAUCAUGGAUAGGGAAGUUAAAAGGACCAAGCAGAGUCGCAUUCCAAUAGUAAAAGUUCGAUGGAAUGCUAAGAGAGGACCCGAAUUCACAUGGGAACGGGAAGACCAAAUGCUACAGAAGUAUCCGCAUCUCUUCCUCAGCCCCUAAAACUCUUACCUUGUAUUAAAUUUCGGGACGAAAUUCCGUUUAACGGGGGGAUGAUGUAACAACCCGUUAUCCCGGGCAUUAUAAACCGAGUCUUGUAACCCCUUUUGAAUGUAAUGGGAAUAUCAUCGAUAAAUGAAUUGUUCAAAAGCUCUGAUUUGGAGUACGCUAUGUAGUAGAUAUCGUCUUAAAGGUUCCAAAUAAAUAAAGAAACACUAAAAUCUGAGUUAUGGCGAAGAAGCUAUGACCAUUCUAAGAUUUCUGUCAAAACCGACAACACCGAUCAAACGAAAAACGCAAAGUUUCAAUACGAUAACAUUUAGCCUUAGGUAUCUAAAUGAAAGUCAUAGAUAACAUUAAACCGUGAGCGUACACAAAAAGAACGUCCAAAUCUGACUUCGCAUGAGGAAGUUAUGAUUUUUCAAAGAAAUUCCUUAAAAACGAUUAGUUAUAAAAUAAAUAAUAAAAAUAAUUUUGGAAUUUGCCAACGGAGUCUAAACGAAAGUUGUAGAUCGUAGUCUCACCUACGCGUGGAUAUAAAGACCAUCGAAAACGGAGUUCGUAUGAAGAAGAUAUGGAUUUUUGAAGUUUAUUAAAUAAAUUAAUUAUUUAUUUAAUUCAAAAUUCGGAUAUUAUCCGAAGAGGAGUCAGCGUCCUUCUCCGAAGUACGCGCUGCGUACUCCUGUACGCCCCGCGUAACCGAGAGGAUUGGCCUCGGAUCGUCCACGUCGCCAUAUCCGAGGAAGCCGACCCGUCCGACCCGUCCGACCCGACGUCCCAUCCGACCCGGCGUCCCAUCCGACCCACCUCCCCAGCAACCCGUCCCAUCCGACCCGAUAACCCAAGAACCCGUCCCAUCCGAACCGAGGCAGUCGAGGCUUCGGUCAUGCAUGACGUACGCGUACGCAGCGCGUACGAGCGUACGCCCCGCGUACCGAGGCAGACUUGCCUUCCUAUAAAUAGAAUGCGAGGGUUUCCAAAGAAAGGGUUCAUUUCUCUUCUCUCUCUCUCAGCAUUUCCUCGUUUUCCGUGUCCGUUCAAACCCGAAGCUCUGGUCUUUUUGGCUCAAGUCCCGAAGGCCGAUUCUACUCCCGAGAUUCCCGAGAAUCCCAAGAAAAAUCAGUUUCCCGAGACGAAACUCUGCUCGGUUUUCCACCUCACAAUCUUCAAACUAUCAAGUGAGUUCAUAUCCCCUUUGAACACUCUUUAAAUACAUUUUAAAUGUUUUAUACUCUUUUUGGGGAGGAAUACAAGUUAACACAUGACUAAAUUCGUGUGAAACAUUAACCUUUUGAUAUACUUUUCAUACUGUUGUUUUAACUAUCUUGUGAAGUUAUUAUGAUACAAAACCCCUCACAACACAGCUUUACCCUCUUUGGGAUAUAAUAUGUUUAUAAAUAGAAAUAUGUUUUAUUUAUACGUUUACAUACAAACACAUCAUAUCAAGGGUAACAUUCUUUACUAAGUCAUUUCAUGCAUUCAAAGAACUUAUGAUUAUGCUUUGUCAAACAUUGUGAAAGAGGUUAAACUUUACAUACAAACUGCUACCUUAUUACGGACUUAGUUGAGAAUCCAUGAGUCGUGUAUAUCUUCAAACGUUACUUUCUUUAUUAGAAAAUAAUGCUGCAAGUCCUGUCUAUAACCAGAGUCUCCCGUUCGGAGAACGUGUCAAAUGUGUAUAGAUCUAUACGGGAAGUCAUGAUCCCGCGCCCUGACUGUUAGCUACAGUCCGUCUUUUGGGGUGACAGUUGUCAUAACGCUACGACGCCUGAAGAACGUCGCUACAGGCAUAUUAUGUUUAGUAUGGUUAUAAAACUCAUCGGAUAUACAAUUAUUAUGGUAUUAUGCUUUUAUGAACAAGUAGUCAUUAAAACUACUCUUCAUUUAAUAAAGGUGAUUUUCGUAUAGCUUUACUAUGUAAAACUACGACACGACUUACAAGCACUUCGCUUGCUUGCGAUUUUCGGUCUUCAAGACUGCCAGUUAUGUCAGGAAAAUAAGGGUUUUUCCUGUAUACAAACCAAACAACUAAUAGGAAAAUAAGGGAUUUUCUCGGUACAAUUAGUUGCAAUUCACAUCACGAGCAUUCAUAUGCAUUGCAUACUUUUAUAGGAAAAUAAGGGUUUUUCUGGAAAACAUGCAAACACUUUCGAAUGGCAUACAUCUUCUCAAAACACUACUUAUGAACUCACCAACUUAAAUGUUGACACUUUUUCUUUGAAAUAACUUGUAUUCACAGGAAACCGCUAGCCAGGUAGCAACUACUUCUGAAGACUAACGCACUGGCGUUAGUAACAUAUUUUGGAUCACCAUUUUAUAUUUGAUUUCUUUUGCAAACAUGUAACACCUACAAUCAUGUAAACUUUUCAAACAUAUUUAUAUUAUGGUGGUGUGUACUUUCCUUUCUAUGAACUGUUAUGAUACUGAAUAUGACGUCCUCCGCCCCCGAGCGAUUCCGCCGUUCUGGUUUGGGGGUGUG